GAGGGUAUAGCUCACUGGUAGAUCAUGUGCUUAGCAUGCAUACGAUGGGGUCCUAGGUUCAAUCCUCAGUACCUUCA
rnacentral:tRNA from 1 species